rnacentral:rRNA from 1 species
GAUGAACGCUGGCGGCGUGCCUAAUACAUGCAAGUCGAGCGAACAGACGAGGAGCUUGCUCCUCUGACGUUAGCGGCGGACGGGUGAGUAACACGUGGAUAACCUACCUAUAAGACUGGGAUAACUUCGGGAAACCGGAGCUAAUACCGGAUAAUCUAUUGAACCGCAUGGUUCAAUAGUGAAAGACGGUUUUGCUGUCACUUAUAGAUGGAUCCGCGCCGCAUUAGCUAGUUGGUAAGGUAACGGCUUACCAAGGCAACGAUGCGUAGCCGACCUGAGAGGGUGAUCGGCCACACUGGAACUGAGACACGGUCCAGACGCCUACGGGAGGCAGCAGUAGGGAAUCGUCCGCAAUGGGCGAAAGCCUGACGGAGCAACGCCGCGUGAGUGAUGAAGGUCUUCGGAUCGUAAAACUCUGUUAUUAGGGAAGAACAAAUGUGUAAGUAACUAUGCACGUCUUGACGGUACCUAAUCAGAAAGCCACGGCUAACUACGUG